GUAGUUUUCUACCGCCAUUGAUUUGGAACAACACAGAGAAGAUUAGCAUGGCCCCUGCGUAAGGACGACAUGUAUAACUUGAGAGGUCGCUGGAUGUAGAUCCGGCUUUUAUUCUAACGUUUUUGUUUUUUUUCCGCCGAGAAUUUUGCGUCUUUUCUAGGUGGAGCAGCUGCACCCCGCAAAAUGUUCAACGAGCUUUUCAGAAAGGUUGUG
rnacentral:snRNA from 1 species